rnacentral:lncRNA from 1 species
UUUAGAUGCAGUUCACUUUUGUUUUUUAAAGUAAGUUUUAUUAAUGGAAAGGAGGAACUUUUUCCAGAAAGCAUUUUGAAAGCCACUGGGGGAGGGGGACAUUUAUGCUUUUGGGCUGUGGAGAUACUUUAGGUGGAGAGACUGCUCUCUCAUCCCUAGUGGAAUGGAGGUUUGGGUUGGUGAGUUUCUAUCAAUAGCCUGCUCUCUAUAGUGGGUCAGUGACUGGCACCAAAUUGUAGUCCUGUUCCAUGGACAUUGCCCUGUUUUGGUUUUAUGAGCUUUUGGCCAGGCACAGGACGCAGGGUGGUAGGGAAAAAAGGAAAUGGUUCCUGUGCCCGUGGUGCUGACAGGUAAGGGAAGGGCCUUCUGAUGUAUUUUAUGGGAUGCUUCAGAAGCCUGGGGGUUGUUUGUUUGUGUCUCUGGGAAGCCCUUGGUAAAGAAAGCCACCAUUUUUUUUACUUAGGUAUAUUCCAGUGGUUUAUCAUCGGGAGAGGGAUGAUAAUGGAGGAAGGCUCAAUGAGGGAGAAAGUAUUCAGCUGCUUGAUGUUAGAGCUUAAUGGCAGGACCUACCAGUUGCUUUUCACAGAAAUGCUGUGUAUUGAUCCUAAGGCAGCAUGUGUUCUCUUUUGUGUGGCGAUUAUCCAUUCUCCCACUUUUCCAUCAGUGACUGUUUUGCUUUUGUUCCUCAAUCCUUUACCCAAAAAUGGCUGAAUUAUUUCUGUGCAGUUAAAUAAAGUGAUCCAAACUCAA